rnacentral:misc_RNA from 1 species
CAAGAUUAAGGAGCUGAAUGCUGGUUUUCACUUUGGGCUUCUUGCUCUUCUAGGAAGUCUUACAGUUUUCUGAUUUGGUGAUUUUGAUUUUGAGAAUUUUCUUGUAAUUUUGAUGGAAUUUCUUGUAAUUUUGAUGGAAUUUUGGUAGUGAUUUGAGAUAAUUGAUUAGUUUGUAGAAAGCGAAUUAAUUAUUCGCUUUCUACAAACUAAUCAAUUAUCUCAAAUCACUACCAAAAUUCCAUCAAAA